GGCAUUAAGAAUAGAGAUUUGGCUAAAGAAAAAAAAUUCAAGUAAUAAUGACAAUUCUUAAGUUUUUUAAAAAUUUAUUUAUCAAGGCCAAAACAAAUACAAAUUGAUUUGGUAUGUUUUAAACCUCUUAUUGAAUAAGAAAAGACUUAUUGUUAUAAAGAAGGUUUGUACUUAUAUUGUAGAGAAUUCAAGUACAUUUCUUAACAUUGU
rnacentral:lncRNA from 1 species